rnacentral:misc_RNA from 1 species
AAGUCGUAACAAGGUCUCCGUUGGUGAACCAGCGGAGGGAUCAUUACCGAGUUUUCAACUCCCAAACCCCAUGUGAACUUAUACCAUUUACAACCGUUGCUUCGGCGGGUUCUCGCCCCGGGCUUUACACCCCGGAACCAGGCGGCCCGCCGGGGGACCCAAACUCUAGAUUUUUAUUUUAGCAUGUCUGAGUGGAAUCAUUACAAAAUGAAUCAAAACUUUCAACAACGGAUCACUUGGUUCUG